CAAAAAAGAAACCAAUUGUUUAUUUACGCAGACUGAAAGAAAAAUUGCCUGGACUUGCUUGCUUCCUCUAGUGUAAGUGACUGGCAGUUGUGGUUCAUCUUAGUGGUCACAGACAGCCAAGGGAAAACAUUGAGAGACUGUGGGCUGGAAGGGAAGGCAAGAACACUUGAUCUCCUUCCAUUUCUGACCCAGAGUUCCCGAUAUUUGAGUGAGACACUCUUGGGUAAGUCUAAGCUAACCACAAGCAGAAGAUGUGAGGGAUGUUGCAAGGGGGGUGUUUCUCAACAGCCCUUUCCCAACCGACUGUGACGUCUGCUUCCAGUGAGCAUUUAAAAUCCUUUCUGCAUCAGUUCAAACAAGAAGCCUUUACUUCCUGUCACUGUCCAGUGGAUAACCACUCUACCCUCACAGCAUCCAGGAAGUCAGCAGAGCAAAGGCAGCGCCCUCCUGUGGACCCUUCUGAAACUGGUUCCUCCAGCUCCGGAAUUGAUGUUUGCCUGUGCAAGGAGAGAGACCCCUUCCUUUGAAGCUUGAGAAGACAUUGAAAAAUAAUUAUUGUUUCCAUUCUGAUCGUCACCCUGUGGCCUCUUGCACCUCACACAUCAGAGUGUGCCGACAAGAAACCACACACCCCAGCAAGCAUCCGUUGUAUUUUCAGCACAGGCCCUUCUGAGACAAGCAGGCAUCGCUUACCUCUGAUUUACCACGCUAAAAAUUGGCCCCUGCAACUUGA